CAUCUUAAGGCUGAGAUACGAUGUCGAGCUACUACGGUAGUGAAGUCAUUGAUGCCAUGCUUCCGGGAAAAGCUUCUAAGCUUCAGAUUAUAAGAAAUCGUACCCCAAACCGACACAGGUGAUCAGGUAGAGAAUACCAAGGCGCUUGAGAGAACUCGGGUGAAGGAACUAGGCAAAAUGGUACCGUAACUUCGGGAGAAGGUACGCUCCUAGCGGUGAUGAGACUUGCUCUCUAAGCUGCUGGGAGUCGCAGAUACCAGGUGGCUGCAACUGUUUAUUAAAAACACAGCACUGUGCAAAAUCGAAAGAUGACGUAUACGGUGUGACGCCUGCCCGGUGCCGGAAGGUUAAUUGAUGGGGUUAGACUUCGGUCGAAGCUCUUGAUCGAAGCCCCGGUAAACGGCGGCCGUAACUAUAACGGUCCUAAGGUAGCGAAAUUCCUUGUCGGGUAAGUUCCGACCUGCACGAAUGGCGUAAUGAUGGCCACGCUGUCUCCACCCGAGACUCAGUGAAAUUGAAAUCGCAGUGAAGAUGCUGUGUACCCGCGGCUAGACGGAAAGACCCCGUGAACCUUUACUAUAGCUUGGCACUGAACAUUGACCCUACAUGUGUAGGAUAGGUGGGAGACGUUGAAGCAACCGCGCCAGUGGUUGUGGAGUCAAUCUUGAAAUACCACCCUUGUAUGCUUGAUGUUCUAACGUUGGCCCCUUAUCGGGGUUACGGACAGUGCCUGGUGGGUAGUUUGACUGGGGCGGUCUCCUCCCAAAGAGUAACGGAGGAGCACGAAGGUGGGCUAAUCACGGUCGGACAUCGUGAGGUUAGUGCAAUGGCAUAAGCCCGCUUGACUGCGAGAAUGACAAUUCGAGCAGGUGCGAAAGCAGGUCAUAGUGAUCCGGUGGUUCUGAAUGGAAGGGCCAUCGCUCAACGGAUAAAAGGUACUCCGGGGAUAACAGGCUGAUACCGCCCAAGAGUUCAUAUCGACGGCGGUGUUUGGCACCUCGAUGUCGGCUCAUCACAUCCUGGGGCUGAAGUCGGUCCCAAGGGUAUGGCUGUUCGCCAUUUAAAGUGGUACGCGAGCUGGGUUUAGAACGUCGUGAGACAGUUCGGUCCCUAUCUGCCGUGGGCGUUGGAUGAUUGAGAGGGGCUGCUCCUAGUACGAGAGGACCGGAGUGGACGAACCGCUGGUGUUCGGGUUGUAUCGCCAGAUGCAUUGCCCGGUAGCUAAGUUCGGAAUCGAUAACCGCUGAAAGCAUCUAAGCGGGAAGCGAGCCUCAAGAUGAGUCAUCCCUAGACCUUUAAGGUCUCUAAAGGGUUGUUGAAGACUACAACGUUGAUAGGUCAGGUGUGUAAGUGCUGCGAGGCAUUGAGCUAACUGAUACUAAUUGCCCGUGAGGCUUAACCAUACAACACCCAAGGGGUUU
rnacentral:rRNA from 1 species